CUGAAUUUUUGGUCAACGAUUCCCGGGACACCGUAACACCGGGGCACAUGAAACUUGGUGGGCAUGUAGCCCCAGUAGACUUUUACGGAAAAAUUUCGUUUCGUCCCCGGGGGUCACUCCCCCCCCGCGCUGGCCCCGCCCGAAGCCCAAAAAUUGCAGUUUUUCCUACAUAACUACCUGAACCGUGGCACCGAGGAUGACAAAUUUUUUAUGGUAUGUUGGUCUCAAGAGCUCGGAUCAACUUAGCUUAUAACCAGUCAUUUGUGAAUUGCACCCCCAUGGUAAAAAUUGAAAAUGUAAUGUAAUAUUGCUUUAAUUGCCCCUAUCUUCAGAUGAGAUGCUAUGAACUGCACCAAAUUUCAUGUGUAUGAUUAACCUGACACCCUCUGGGAGUAUGCCAAGUUUUGUGGACUUUCAUCCAUGGGGGGCUAUAAUAAAUGUAUUUAUGUGUGCAUUUAGUGAAUGGUCCCUCAACGUGGCUGCUCUACACUGAAGCCUAGAAUGGCCCCAUGGCCCCAUGUAGCUGUGUCACUGGCACCCCCGUGGCUACCCUGUGCUUACCAAAUAAAACAAUUAUGUAUUUAUUACGAUUUUAUAUGAGAACGUCAAAAGCAGAACUAAUGCAACCACGUUCAAACACUGCAGCCUGCUGCCACUGGUGUGUGGCGCUGGCGCUGCUCAGUGAAUGAUAGAUCAGACCAGAGAGAAGAAGACAAACGAAGAAGAUGGAGUUGUGAUUUCUCAGUUCCGAAUGGCGGCCAUAUUGGAAUUUUCUUUACUGUCGCUAGUUUCACACUACUUGAUUUCUCAUGUUGCAGUAAGCUAAACGAUUUCAUCUCUUACGUGACUUGUUGUUCUUGCAGAUGCGAAUAGCCUACAAUGUCAGUACUCAAACCACCAGUAGCAGGCUUAGGACUAGAGUUUGCCAGUCAGACCACUACACCUUUGCCAGCACCACCACCCAGCAAGCUUCAUCAACUCCAGCCAUGCCGAGUUUACCAAUCAGACCUACACCUCUGUCAAAUUCGCUCACAACGCUGCCAGUAACACCCCAGCAAGGUAGAACUGCAUUUUCAUUAAUCUGGCACCAAUAUCAAGGGAGAAACAAGCCAUGAAUGUCUGUCACAACUUCUUUGCAUCUUUACUUUCCUUACAUCUGAAGAGUGUGUUACAUAUAUCAUUAUUAAAAAUAAUUUUAAUAAAUUGUUUAAGCAUGUACAAUAAAUAAAGCAUGUAAAUGAGCAUGUAAAAUAAAUAAACAAAAGCAAGUAAAAUAAAUAAAUAAACAAAAUGUAUUGAACCUAAUAGGCUACUAUGUGUGGUGAGUCUGUGUGAUAGUUGCUGAGGAUAAAUGUUUUUAUAUUGGAUUAUUAAAUUACAGAAUACAUUUAUAGGUUUCUCAUCAGCAGGCACUGUCUUCACCUUAGUAAAUUUGGUAACUUUGGUAAGUCCUGUAAAUAAUUGUAAAUUGUUCUGAUUGAGGGCAAAUGGAAAGUGUUAUAAUGUAUUAUUGCUAUUUUAGUGCAUCAUUUUCAUUAUUAUGGCCAUAAAUAAGGCCAAUUAGAAGCUGGUGGGUAGUAAGCGGCAAAAGGGUGGCCCUUUAUCUGGAGCCGCUUCUGAGCCGCCGCUGGACAGCCAGAGAACUGAUGAGCAAAACUCCAGCGGGCCACUGGUGGUUACCGCCGUUGGACCGCCAACUCUGCCGCUGGUUUGUAACAGUAACUUUAGCAUUGCCCAUUAAAUGAUUGCAAAAUAUUUAUUGAGGUGAGUUUAACAAGUGUAAUUUCAUUGGCAUAUAAUUCAGGCCUAUAGUAGAUGGCUAAAUGGCUACAGUAGAAGGAUACACGAAAAGCCCAAACUACCAAAAUCUUCAUAUUUUAUUACCACAGUUUCUAUCUAUAGGCCUCUCUUAUUUGGUAUACUGACUAGACAUUAUUGAACAAACAUAGGCUAUUCAUCUGUAUUUCAGUAUCUCAGUAGCCUAGGUUAAAGUAUUUUUUAGAUACCUCCCUGAAAUUAC